ensembl:lncRNA
GAGAAAACCAUGGGAGGAGGGGAGAGAAUGAUGGAGAGCAGAGGAGGAGAAAGAGAUAGGGGCGGGGGAAGACUGACACAUUGUAAAGGGUGUUAAAGGGGAAGGGAAGAGCAUGCACUGUACAGGCAUCAGGAAUGGCUGUCCGCUCUACCACUUCCAUCGGAUGGGGAGAGAGAUGGUGAAUGUAGACAGGGCUCUCAUGUCCCUCCACCCUGGUCCAGUUUUUUCAGAGUCGAGGCACAGAGAUGGAAGGAGCAGGGGGAGAAGGAAGGCGAUACUGAAUCUGAGAGCGGAGCUCUUCAAACACCAGCCUUUCUCUUCCUUCCCUCCAUUUAGCUGCCUGACGCUCCCCAGAACACUGAUUCUUCAGAGGCACGCUCAGACAGCUGUGGGUACCUGGACUAGAGCAGACCCACAGAACUGGGCUAACCAAACACAGCCUAAGGAAGUUGUCUGACAGACCAUACGGAGUAAGUGAUCAAACAAGGAACUUAGUAAUUAUUCCUGAAUUAUUGUUUGACUGUGUUUGUGCUAUUUUAGGGGAGAUGAUGAAAGCGCUUGUGAAUUCAUAAUUCUUGAACUGCAAUCCAUAGACGCUCCACUCAAACAAGAAGACCAAGUGAGACCAAAUGUAUAGUUCAAAGGUUAAAGACGAGAGGACACCAAGGCCUGGUCAGAGGAGGUCUAGGGUAUGUGGACAUAGGUAAGUAUUUACUGUAUGUCACAGGUUACAUUGGAUGGAACAGAAUGGACAGGAAAUAGAAUGGCCUGUUAAUCUGAGUGUAGUGCCCUCUUACAGAACCCCCCCCCAGUGAGCCUGGGCCUGUAACGGAAUGACCACCUCAUGACAUAUUAGUGAUGUGCUGCUUUUAAUUAGCCCAACGGGAGCGUUUACCUAGUUAAACAUUUAUGAACCAGAUGGCCAUUAGAACAAUGCUUCAGAGACCAAACUACAGCCAACAAACAUGUGGUUCCUUUGAGAAGCCUGAUGAGCACUGCAGGUCUAUUGCAACCCCAAGUAUACAGACAAUCAUACUAAAUAUAUACAACAUGUACUAAAUCAUGCAAAGGCUUAGAGACAAAGAGGACAAGGUUGAAGACUCACAUUCUCCACUGGAUGGGAAAUCAGGUUUCCCUUGGAGAGAGCUGCUGUCCUCUACAGGAGGUCACCUACACAGAGAGACAGGUUCAGGGAGACGUGUUGCAGACGCCCUCUAUUUUCUGCAGUCUUAUUUGAAUAAACCUGACCUGACCAUAAUUCAACAUGAGAGAAGAUAAACUGGCAGUGUGGCACCUUGACAAAAAAGCAGACCACCAGACACAGCACAAAGGAUGGGUGGUAACACUAUUUUUAAGGGUAUAUAAAACAUUUAUAAGGCCUUUAUAAACAGUUUGCUCACCAUUUAUUAAUAUUUACUCCCACAUGUGUAAAUCUUAGUAAAGUAGUUAUUCACAUAUGAAGCUCUGGAAAAAAAAUUAUGUGACCAGUGCAAAAUGACCAGUUUCUCUAAUUUGACUAUUUAUAGGUAUGUGUUUGGGUAAAAUGAAAAUGUUUGUUUUAUUCUUUAAACUACUGACAACAUUUCUCCCAAAUUCCAAAUAAAGAUAUUGUCAUAUAGAGCAUUUAUUUGCAGAAAAUGAUAACUGGUCAAAAUAACAAAAAAGAUGCAGUGCUGUACUGUUCAGACCUCGGAUAAUGCAAAGAAAAUAAGUUCAUAUUCAUGUUUAAACAACCCAAUACUAAUGUUUUAACUUAGGAAGAGUUCAGAAAUCAAUUUGGUGGAACAACCCUGAUUUUCAAUCACAGCUUUCAUGCGUCUUGGCAUGCUCUCCACCAGCCUUUCACAUUGAUGUUGGGUGACUUUAUGCCAUUCCUGGCGCACAAAUUCAAGCGGCUCGGCUUUGUUUGAUGGCUUGUGACCAUCCAUCUGCCUCUUGAUCACAUUCCAGAGGUUUUUAAUGGGGUUCAGGUCUGGAGAUUGGGCUGGCCAUGACAGGGUCUUGAUCUGGUGGUCCUCCAUCUACACCUUGAUUAUGAUGGUGUUCACCUUGGGGUCAUGAUAGGGGCUGCACCAAAUGAUUGAUGUAUUUUAAUAAUUGAUUAUGCUUAUGUUGUAUUAAUAGAAGGGGAAGGGCUAUAAGACCCUCCCCCACUACAUUUAUAGGGUCCUGGACCACAGAUUAGCAAUAUAUUCAUUAUAAGGUUAAUACUGUUCCACAGUUAUUUUCUAGUCUCUGCCUCUUAUAAGAAACGGUCUGAGAGAUGUGUGAGCCAUUGCAGUCAAAACAGGGUGUCUGUGAGAAAGCGCCUCAAGGCUAAAAGAGAUACAUAGACACAGAACCUUGCAGGGGAGUAAAGAGAUAAGAGACAAGUCAGAUAUUCCACUGUAAGCCACACAGGAAUGGAAAUUACUGCUGAGCCCUUAGAAAACACUGGACUAUUGUUUUCUCCUGCAAGUUUGUAUAACUGUAUAUGCAUGGGCUUGGUCUCAUGAGUAGAAGGUGUUGACGUAGGCAGUUACAUCACUAGGGGUUGACUGCACGCAUAUUAAAGCAACUUUGACCUUUUUUAUUUUGCAGAACUUACUCUGAAACAUGCAUGCUAUGUUUCCAUUGUCAACUUCUGUCUGCAAUUAUGUGAACAAAGGUUUGAUUGAUUUACUUGAAGAUAUUGUUUGAUUUCAUCAAUAAGCCAAUGAUUGACAAGGAACAAGGAAACUACCCCAACAAUUGACCUGGCUGUGUGGCAUGGAGCAUUGUCCUGCUGGAAAAAACUAUCCGUGGGGAACAUUGUCAGAGUAGAAGGAAGCAAGUUCUUUUCCUGGACAACCUUGUACGUGGCUUGAUUCAGGCGUCCUUCACAAAGACAAAUCUUCCCAAUUCCAGCCUUGCAUAAGCACCCCCAGAUCAUCACCAAUCCUACACCAAAUUUCACAGUGGGUGCAAGACCUGGAGAGACCUACAAGCCACAGUGUCUUAUUUUUUUUAAACAUUAUUCGAGGUCUGACAACACUGCAUCUUUUUUUGUUAUUUUGACCAGUUGUCUUUUUCUGCAAAUAAAUGCUCUAAAUGACAAUAAUUUUAUUUAGAAUUUGGGAGAAAUGUUGUCAGUAGUUUAUAGAAUAAAACAAAAAUGUUAAUUUUACCCAAACACAUACCUUUGUGUUUGGGUAUAUAAAUAGUAAAACCAGAGAAAUGGAUAAUUUUGCAGUGGUCUCUUAAUUUUUUCCAGAGCUGUAUAUACAGUACCAGUCAAAAGUUUGAACACACCUACUCAUUCAAGUGUUGUUCUUUAUUUUACAAUUUUCUACAUUGUAGAAUAAUAGUGAAGACAUAUUAGAUUUGUUUAUUUGAGAUUCUGCAAAGUAACCACCUGUCAUGACUCUCUCUCUCUUGAUUGAGGAUCAUAGGUGCCAGAUCAGCUCGGCACAGGGCUGACAGAUAGCCAGACUCCCCCCUCCUCCUCUCUCCCACCAGAGAUUUAUCACUUAACAACCGGAUUGUAAAUACCUGGCAGAAACUCUCCCUUCUGCUCUGCAGUAUUGAGUUCAAAAUCAUUUGUGUGUAGAGAGACUUUAACAUCAAAAGACUGGACAUUGGAACAUUCGUUUUGGAAUCCAAACAUCUGGAAUGGUUGGUGGGGAUCCAAACAAUAAUCAUGUCAUGUAAUGUGUUGUUUUGUGAUGUCAUUAAGGAUGGUAUAACAAGAUAACUGGAGCUCUGCAAGUGUGUACGUCCUUGUUAUCGGAAUUCCAUCUAAAUGUUGUAAAACUUAUAUGAUUAAAUAUGAAACUAUUUGUGAAAAGAUAGCAAUGUGAUUUUAGCCUUCUAAAUGAGAAAUUGUAAUUCAAAUAAAGUUGUAUCUAGUCAGUAACCACGCCUACGUGAGCACAGACAUUAUUCUGGUGUGAUGGAACACCCCCUUUGACCAGGGUGCUUAAAAAGGACUCGUAACAAAAUGUACAUUAGACCAGAGAAAGUGAGGACAAUCCACACGUUGAAAUGGUUGCAAAGACCAGACAGUGUGGAGCGGUGGCUACAUGGCUGACAAAUGGUUUAAAACCACAACACCAGAAAAUGGUAAGACCCUCUGAAACUCUCGACGAGUGAAGAAGAUAUACAGCUGCAGACUGUGAAUGUGUCUAUGUAAAAUAGUCUAGGAAACUCAACCGAAGACGAGAAAAUAAUAACAUUUCCCCAAAGACCAACGUGUGUGGAACAUCUGAAGGAUCCAGUCUAACAAACACUCAGAGACAAAGAAGCCUACUACAACUACAAAAGACAUUGUGACCUCUGGUAGACAAACCAGAGACAUCUGUCGAAAUACUUUUCAUAGAUGGCCCGGGUGAUUUCAACAGAGAGACGACAAAGACAUACAAGCGUAAAUAUGUGUUGCAUUUCUAAAUCCGAAUGAGCGGUUGUUAGGGUGCUAAAUAUCAUUUUUACGAUGAGUGUAUUUUCCACAUGUAUGUACAAUAAGCCCACUCUCUGUCUCUCCCGCUCUUUCUUUUCCCAACCCUUUUAUUGUGUAACAAGCCGUCAUAUCGGGUUAGUCCACUAGGGACUUUUCAUUGCAUUAUAUUAGUAAUCAAUAACCUAUAACAUCUGUGUGUUUAUGUAUUUCUGUGUGACUGUUUAGUUAGUUAGUAAAUAAAUGAUCAAGACUAUUUGUGUAUCGCUGAAUCACCACUUUUAGGCUAGGGUUCGUGUAGAUUUACGAGGUCAACUAUGUUCAGAAUGAGACUGACAUGAGAAAAUUAUUAAUUGAUGGCUGGUAUGAUAACGAUAUAUUCUGAUAUAUUCUUGAGUUCGUUCGGGAAAAGGUAACUCAUUAAACAAACUUUUCACGUG